rnacentral:lncRNA from 1 species
GCGUGAGAGGAUAAAGAUAGGUGGUUAUACAUUUGAAUUCAAAUCAAAUUUGAAUUCAAACUAAAACCAACUCAUCCCUAUCCACUUAUGGCGUGAGAAGAGAAGGGUGUGGAGUCUUUGUGUGUGGAAAGGUUUCAUGAGAAACCUUUUCUCGUGUAAAAUGUGGGGUGCUAAAGUGGAUAAUGUCAUGUAGGCACAAGAGAUAAG